GCCGCGUUGUAGGCGGGUUCCGAGGAGGUGCAGAAGAAACCGGAAGUUUCCUGGUGGCACCUGCUCCCGGAAGUCAGUCCAUUGGAAACUGCUAACCCAGGUAUUGUAUCUCUCAAACAAGUCUAACUUCUCCAACUCCUGGUUUUUGUGGAUGAGAGACCUGAGACUUCCUUGAAGGUUAUGAGAGCUGCUCAGAUGGAAGACUGAACACUGUUGUAAAUACACUCUCUGCUUCCCUUCCACCCAGGAGACCUCUCCUCUCAUUUUCUCCUCCUCCUCCUUCUCCCGGGUCCACCAGCAUAAUACAUCUUUUGGGAAGCAAGCAGUUGCUGACUUUUUUUUAUAAGUUGUUGUGAUACAUGAAUAUUUUUAUUAAACAUUAA